AAGAAAUUUAAUAAUUGGGUCGAAUCGUAAGGGGGAUUCGGUGGGGAGUGCUGGAGGAGACUGCCUGCGCUUAAUUGCGCGGUUCUCCGCCGGGGCUUCUGUAUUCACUGUUUCUCUGUCUGCGGUUCACUGCCUAAAAAUUAUACACACACUGGAGUUUUCUUUUAAAACACUUCUUCUUCUUUGGGCUUGCAAGAGCCCGGAGUUGACAAACACAAACAAUUUUGUUAUAUUAUAAUCAAGUCAAAACCAAUUUCGUUAUGAAAUACAAAUAAUUUA
rnacentral:rRNA from 1 species